UCGCCUCAGAACCCAAGGAAGCAGGAGAAUUGGAAGGAGAUCCAUUGUUCAGGAGAAAUAUCCAAGUAAUGUGUAGGUGAGGAGAGCUGUAUGGCAGUAGAUGAGUAUGUAUAUCCAUCUCAUGGCUGGCUUGAGAGAUCUUCAGCAUCUGCAGCGUGUGAACAGGAAGGACUUGGUGACUGGCUGAGACUAGGACUCUGUGAGUGCAAUGGCUGAAGGAGGGUGAAAUUGCACAGAGAGGAAAAAAUCAUGAUUUCAUAGCAUGCUGUCUUUGUGAUCCACUUAAAGGGAGCAGAAAAGCCCUUGAUAGAAGUAGAAUGCUUUUUGAGCUUCUGCUGCCACUGAAGUCAAUGUGUUACUAAUCAGGAUGCCACCUCCUCAUACCAUCCCCAUGGACAUGUCCAGCUCAUUCCUACUGCAGAGCUCUCCAGAGACCUGGGCAUCCAUAGCGUUGACAGCAGCAGCAUUUUUCAUGGUGAUGUCUUUGUACCUACGGGGAGAGCAGAAAAAGAUGAGACUGCGUGGCUGAAUGUGGUAAGAGAGCAGCUGGGAUACUUUGGAGUGACACUGCUGCUUGAGAUCUGCUCCCAGGCUGAGGACAGAGCAGCACUGAUCAGGCAGACAUAUUAUGCAGAUGGAUGGGCAUGGAAAAGGGACUAGGAUUUUCCCUCUGGAGACCGACCUCUUAUUGAGAUUUAUUGACGUCAGAAGGAUUGCAUAAAUACAGCCUUUAAAUCUUCAGAGGGUGCUCAUUGAAGAGUUUAACCAGGGGUUUUCUCGAGUUUUCUCUCACCAUCAGCAGUAUUAAAAGAGUUCCUCAAUGUACUUGUGAGCUAGGAUGGAAUCAGAAAUAAAAACAAGGAGUGAGUAGAAAAGCA
rnacentral:lncRNA from 1 species